GUCAGCAGCCAUAUCACCCUGCAGCUCUCAGCUGGCUACCUAAAGCUCAGCAGGGUUGAGCCUGGUCAGUACCUGGAUGGGAGACCUCCUGGGAAGCUAUGGUUGCUGCUGGAA
rnacentral:rRNA from 1 species